rnacentral:rRNA from 1 species
UACGUAGGGUGCGAGCGUUGUCCGGAAUUACUGGGCGUAAAGAGCUCGUAGGUGGUUUGUCGCGUUGUUCGUGAAAUCUCACGGCUUAACUGUGAGCGUGCGGGCGAUACGGGCAGACUUGAGUACUGCAGGGGAGACUGGAAUUCCUGGUGUAGCGGUGGAAUGCGCAGAUAUCAGGAGGAACACCGGUGGCGAAGGCGGGUCUCUGGGCCGAUACUGACGCUGAGGAGCGAAAGCGUGGGGGAGCGAACAGG